GCGCGCAUAGCUCAGCUGGAUAGAGCGUUGGCCUCCGGAGCCAAAGGCCAGAGGUUCGAAUCCUCUUGCGCGCGCCA
rnacentral:tRNA from 1 species